ACUUGAAUAGCUUAUAAAGAGCAUAAUAUUGAAGAUAUUAAGGAAAUAGUAAUAUUUUUAAGUA
rnacentral:tRNA from 1 species